AUCGCUAGUAAUCGCGGAUCAGCACGCCGCGGUGAAUACGUUCCCGGGCCUUGUACACACCGUCCGUCACACCAUGGAAGUCUGCAAUGCCCGAAGCCGGUGGCCUAACCACUUAUGUGGAAGGAGCCGUCUAAGGCAGGGCAGAUGACUGGGGUGAAGUCGUAACAAGGUAGC
rnacentral:rRNA from 1 species